rnacentral:rRNA from 1 species
AGCGAACGCUGGCGGCAGGCCUAACACAUGCAAGUCGAACGAACCUUUCGGGGUUAGUGGCGGACGGGUGAGUAACACGUGGGAACGUGCCUUUAGGUUCGGAAUAACUCAGUGAAACUUGUGCUAAUACCGAAUGUGCCCUUCGGGGGAAAGAUUUAUCGCCUUUAGAGCGGCCCGCGUCUGAUUAGCUAGUUGGUUGAGGUAAUGGCUCACCAAGGCGACGAUCAGUAGCUGGUCUGAGAGGAUGAUCAGCCACAUUGGGACUGAGACACGGCCCAAACUCCUACGGGAGGCAGCAGUGGGGAAUCUUGCGCAAUGGGCGAAAGCCUGACGCAGCCAUGCCGCGUGAAUGAUGAAGGUCUUAGGAUUGUAAAAUUCUUUCACCGGGGACGAUAAUGACGGUACCUGGAGAAGAAGCCCCGGCUAACUUCGUG